UAGCUGGUCUGAGAGGAUGAUCAGCCACAUCGGGACUGAGACACGGCCCGAACUCCUACGGGAGGCAGCAGUGGGGAAUAUUGGACAAUGGGGGCAACCCUGAUCCAGCAAUACCGCGUGUGUGAAGAAGGCCUGAGGGUUGUAAAGCACUUUCAAUUGUGAAGAAAAGUUAGCGGUUAAUAACCGUUAGCCUUGACGUUAACUUUAGAAGAAGCACCGGCUAACUCCGUGCCAGCAGCCGCGGUAAUACGGAGGGUGCAAGCGUUAAUCGGAAUUACUGGGCGUAAAGCGUGCGUAGGCGGUUUAUUAAGUCAGAUGUGAAAGCCCCGGGCUUAACCUGGGAACUGCAUUUGAAACUGGUCAACUAGAGUAUGGUAGAGGAAAGUGGAAUUUCUGGUGUAGCGGUGAAAUGCGUAGAUAUCAGAAGGAACAUCAAUGGCGAAGGCAGCUUUCUGGACCAAUACUGACGCUGAGGUACGAAAGCGUGGGUAGCAAACAGGAUUAGAUACCCUGGUAGUCCACGCCGUAAACGAUGAUAACUAGCCGUUGGGGGGAUUUACCCUUUAGUGGCGAAGCUAACGCGUUAAGUUAUCCGCCUGGGGAGUACGGCCGCAAGGUUAAAACUCAAAGGAAUUGACGGGGACCCGCACAAGCGGUGGAGCAUGUGGUUUAAUUCGAUGCAACGCGAAGAACCUUACCUGGUCUUGACAUCCUGCGAACUUUCUAGAAAUAGAUUGGUGCCUUCGGGAACGCAGUGACAGGUGCUGCAUGGCUGUCGUCAGCUCGUGUCGUGAGAUGUUGGGUUAAGUCCCGUAACGAGCGCAACCCCUAUCCUUAUUUGCCAGCACAUUAUGGUGGGAACUAUAAGGAGACUGCCGGUGAUAAACCGGAGGAAGGCGGGGACGACGUCAAGUCAUCAUGGCCCUUACGACCAGGGCUACACACGUGCUACAAUGGGAAGGACAAAGAGCCGCGAAGCCGUGAGGUGUAGCUAAUCUCAGAAACCUUUUCGUAGUCCGGAUUGGAGUCUGCAACUCGACUCCAUGAAGUCGGAAUCGCUAGUAAUCGUAGAUCAGAAUGCUACGGUGAAUACGUUCCCGGGUCUUGUACACACCGCCCGUCAUACCAUGGGAGUGGGUUGCACCAGAAGUGGCUAGUCUAACUUUAUUGAGGACGGUCACCACGGUGUGAUUCAUGACUGGGGUAAAGUCGUAACAAGGUAACC
rnacentral:rRNA from 1 species